UGUCUGGGUCUCGCGCAACAGGAAUCUUCGAACCGUGUCAGGUCGGAGACGAAGCAGCACUAAGGGGAAUCUCCUGUGUGCCGUGAGGGUGCCUGGGCUGAGU
rnacentral:SRP_RNA from 1 species